CAUAACCACUGGGUUCUCAGAAGCCUCUGAGCCUGUGUUUUCAUGACCUCUGCUCUGCUGUACCUCCUGGAAGUCAGACAGGCUGAAAGAAGAAAUAACUUGGUUUUAAAUGUCUGAGACUUUCCUCCCUGUAAUCAAGCACGAGCCAGUGAGUCACGGGAAGAGCCAGAAGUCACCCAGCGCCAGAUCCGGUGGACAUGUGGAUAAGGAUGCACCGUCACCUUUUCACAAGGCAGCCC